rnacentral:rRNA from 1 species
CAGUCGCCGCGGGAAUACGAAGGGGGCUAGCGUUGUUCGGAAUCACUGGGCGUAAAGGGUGCGUAGGCGGGCGACUCAGUCAGGGGUGAAAUCCCGAGGCUCAACCUCGGAACUGCCUUUGAUACUGGUUGUUUUGAGUCCGGAAGAGGUGAGUGGAACUGCGAGUGUAGAGGUGAAACUCGUAGAUAUUCGCAAGAACACCGGUGGCGAAGGCGGCUCACUGGUCCGGAACUGACGCUGAGGCACGACAGCGUGGGGAGCAAACAGGAUUAGAUACCCCCGUAGUCCCUGUCUCUUAUAC